AGAGAGAGAGAGAGAGAGAGAGAGAGAGAGAGAGAUAGGGGGAGGAGGGACUGUAGGUGAACUUGAAGGAGAAAUAGGAGGAAUGCUCUUUUAAAAGGCUCUAGUUGAAGUUGUAAGGGUUUUUAAGGGUGUUCUUAAGGCUCUAGUGAUAGAUUAACAACAGGAGAAACACUCUUUUAAAAGGCUCUAGUUGAAAUGAUGCAGGUUUUUAAGGAUGUUUUUAAGGUUCCAGUAACAGAUUAACAAUAUUUCUGCAUUACUGACAGGAGAAACACUCUUUUAAAAAAGCUCUAGUCGAAGAUGUAAGGUUUUUAAGGGUGUUUUCAGGGUUGAGGUGACAGAUUAACAACAUCUGCAUUACUGACAGGAAAAACAUUUUUAAAAGACUCUAGUAAAGUUUUUUUUUAUUUUUAUUUUUUUUAAGGUUGUAGUGACAGAUUAACAACAUUUCUGCAUUAUUGACAGGAGAAACACUCUUUUAAAAGGUUCUAGUUGAAGUUGUAAGGGUUUUUAAUAUUUUUUAAGGUUGUAGUGACAGAUUAACAACAUUUCUGCAUUAGUGACAGGAGAAACACUUUUGAGAACCUUGCAAACCAUCACUGUGGCUUUAUGAAACAGUCAGUGGUGAGAGACCUGACCUGAGCCUGUGUGACCUGAUCUUCUCCAGGCUCGUGUGUGUGUGUGUGUGUGUGUGUGUGUGUGUGUGUGUGUAAGUUUGUUUACUACUACUACUAUUACUCAUAAAAGUAAUAAUAAUGACAAUAAUUAUGAUACUACUACUACUACUACUACUACUACUACUACUACUACUACUACCACUACUACUACUACUACUGCUGCUACUGCUACUACUACUACUACUACUACUACUACUACUACUACUACUACUACUACUACUACUGUAAUAGGCACUACUUUGCAUGAAGAAAAGAAUAGAUAUAAGAGUAGAAUUAGAAGGAAAUUAGAGACGCGUUAGAGAAUCUAACGCUAGUAUUAGAAGAAUUGUGCAAGAGGUGAACAGGACGUUGAAUUGAUAACAGCCAAGCUUAACUAUAAACAGCCGGUUUGUUUUAUGCCCAUUCAGCUUGUUAAAGGCUUACCUCCCAUUGGGUGGAGAUUAAAACGUCAUUCAUUUUUCUUGAUAUUAUUGGCUAUGGAAAUCUAUGACGUAUGCCUCGACACCUCUCGGACAAUCCUCAAGUCACUUUUAGAGUAGCAGCCACUCACCAAGAUAGUACAGACGCACAACCCGUGUCGCUCUGACUUGAGUUACUCAAAGACUUAGACUCUGAUCAAGACGCAAGAGUCUUAAUAACUUUGCUUAUAACCUUUGUCGUGUGAUUGAGUAGUAAAGAAGAACACUGUUGUUGAGCUGUAAGACAAUUUAUAUUUUCUAAAUAAACUGCAACACGCCAGACUAACUUUGAUAACCCACUUGCACAAGGAUGUUGUGAGUGAUGAUUAUCGAGAAAGAAAAUCGUCGUUUCCGAUACCAAGCUACGCCCACCGACACAUAGUCGCCACAGAGGCUAGAGACAGUGUGCACAUAUACAUGACAACACAGUGGUGGCAACACAGUGGUGUUCAGGUUAUUGGGAUUCUGAAGCCUAAACAACCUCCGAAGAGUAAGAAGAGUUUACAAACAUUAAAAACAAACAGCAGCAACGGAAACAACAGCAAUAACGCUUCCCCAGCCAACACAGUGAGUCAAGGUCAACCCCACAAGUGUGCACAAGUCCCGCACCGCGCAGCACCGCGCCACACCUCAUCACACUCCCGAGCCACUACUCACACGAUCAAACUCAAGAGUAACUCUCAAUUAAUACCACCAAACAACGAGACCAAUAUCUAAAUACUAAGAAGAGACUUAGAAGAGGAAACCGCAGCCAGAGACGAGAGCAGGAUCAGCGCCGCCCCAGCAGCCGCCGCACACAGCCAUCAGCCACAGCACGCCGCCACCAGCAGCCGCUGCACACAGCCAUCAGCCACAGCACGCCGCCACUAGCAGCCGCCGCUCAAGAGGACAUCGCUACUCACUUUUCUAUACUUUGGUAACAGUAUUCAACCUGUCAAUCAUUAAUGUAAUUAUAUUCAUGUAAUACUUUAUCUAAUACCCAGUGCACCAACAGUUUGUGUAUGCCUGAGGAAUGACUGAGCACGAAGAAACAUUGAGUAUAACUGCCUUAUUGUAGAGCGUCUCCCAACAUUAUCACACACACUACCCAUCAUCAUAGGACAAGGUAAAGAUGAAACAAGUGGCAUGCAUGUUCUCAGCUAUAGUAGUUCUAGCAACAGCCUGGGACCCUGUGAGGCCCGGAGCUUUAGUAAGGAAAAUCGGCGACAUGAUCAUUGUGAACCAAUCAGUAAGAGUACUAUUGAAAUUUGACAAUAUAAAUGUUGUAAGAGAAAAUGUCAGACAUAUCAAUAAUGGGUUACAGAUGGUAAAAGACAAAUUGAUAAUUAGUGAGAUAUCCAAUGUGAGAUUAGAGAAGAAAUUAGAUGCUAUACAGACGAAGGUCACCAAAAUAGAAAAUAACUCCCUACAUAGCAAAAGCAAAAGAGGAGUAGGUAUCGCAAUAGCGAUCGGAUCAUUAGUAGGUCUUGGAGUAACAAAUAUUGGUUUGUAUGCAGAACUUCGCUCAAAUGUAAAUAAUCUACAAAACUCAGUGUCCAGAAUCGAUGUCUUACAAGAAGAAACAGAAGAUAUACAACUUACCAUAGAUGAGAUGAUUAAUAGCAUAGAAACCUUAAGCACAGAGAACUCUAAAUUGAAGGAAUCCCUGGAAAUUUUCAUGGUCUUGGAUCAGUUGCACAUUAAGAUAAAUUAACUAAAUGCUGAAAUGGAACAGUUAAUUCAAGACUUAGUUACGGCUAAUGCUGGACAUGUUACAUACACAUUAUUUUCAAUAUCACAACUUCUAAACAUAACUCAACAAGCAAAAUAUGAGUGAAAUUUUCAACCUUUCUUUGAUUCAAAUAAUAUUGCUCUAUAUUAUCCCAUUCUUAAUUCAUUCAUAAAUGAUACUGGAGUACUCAUUGACAUACCAUUUUCAUCAGAAUUGAAAUAUCACAUGUAUAAUCUGAUUCCUUUCCCAAUGAAAUUUAAUAGUUCCAUUAUAACAGUUGAUACUGAUAUAACAUCUCCAACAAAUUACAUCCUAUCCAUAAAUGGUUUGAAAGAAAGUGUUAUAGUAAAUGAUGAUCUAUUGCACUGUAAGAAAACUAACGUAGACUUGUACAUUUGCUCAGCUACUUAUUUUACUUUCAAUGAAGCAUUGAGUCACUCAUGUGCCGCAUCCUUGGUGAAAAAUAUAUCCAUUGUACGUAAUUGUCAUUUCAAGGAAGAAACUCCCACACCACGUCAUGAAACUAUCCAGGAAUCUCACUACUUAUAUUUUCCAAACAAGACAACUGUAUCAGUCAUAUGCCCAGGAUUUCAACCUCAGAUAGCAUCAAUAGAAGGCUUAUAUCGUGUACCAGAUCAAUGUGAACUUCAUAGCCCCACACUCACAACAGUAGCAAAUAGGAAAAAGACUAUUGUAAUUAAUAGAGAAAAUGUUUUACAGGACAUUACUAUGAAAUUCCCAGACAGAGCUCCUCCUUUGAAAAUCAGAAAGAUUAACAAGAAAAGACUUGUAACGCAAGUGUCAAAAACACACAAAGGUACUAUGUGGUAUAUAAUAUAUGUACUUCCAUUUGUCUUGAUAGUCACAUUGAGCACAAUAUCAAUGAUACUUAUGUACAAGAAACUCAAGAAUUCAUCCAUCGAAAUGAAACACAUUUCCGAGCCGUAACCCUGUGAUAGGUAUGUAAAGAACAGCAAGCAUGUAAUAUUGUAAAUAGAAUAUGUAUGUAAAGAACAGCAAGCAUGAAAUACUGUAAAUAGAAUUUAUUGCAUAACAAUUUUGUCGGGACGACAAACGGUAGCUGCCGAGCCCUGUAAUAGGCACUACUUUGCAUGAAGAAAAGAAUAGAUAUAAGAGUAGAAUUAGAAGGAAAUUAGAGACGCGUUAGAGAAUCUAACGCUAGUAUUAGAAGAAUUGUGCAAGAGGUGAACAGGAAGUUGAAUUGAUAACAGCCAAGCUUAACUAUAAACAGCCGGUUUGUUUCAUGCCCAUUCAGCUUGUUAAAGGCUUACCUCCCAUUUGGUGGAGAUUAAAACGUCAUUCAUUUUUCUUGAUAUUAUUGGCUAUGGAAAUCUAUGACGUAUGCCUCGACACCUCUCGGACAAUCCUCAAGUCACUUUUAGAGUAGCAGCCACUCACCAAGAUAGUACAGACGCACAACCCGUGUCGCUCUGACUUGAGUUACUCAAAGACUUAGACUCUGAUCAAGACGCAAGAGUCUUAAUAACUUUGCUUAUAACCUUUGUCGUGUGAUUGAGUAGUAAAGAAGUGCACUGUUGUUGAGCUGUAAGACAAUUUAUAUUUUCUAAAUAAACUGCAACACGCCA